CGUAUCGGCAACGACCACGGGCUCUCCCGCCAAGAGGUCUGGUGAAAGCGGAUCCAGCGAAGAGAGCGACACGAGCGAAUCCCUUGGCUCGAGCGAGGAGGCAACGACCACGGGCUCUCCCGCCAAGAGGUCUGGUGAAAGCGUAUCCAGCGAAGAGAGCGACACGAGUAGAUCC
rnacentral:lncRNA from 1 species